rnacentral:sRNA from 1 species
ACAACCUUACUUGAACAGGAUCUGUUCUAUAGGUUGUACAUCUGUAUCCUUGAGUUCUAAAGAGACAGGAAACCAAGUCCAAUUGGACG